UGCCUGGCACAUAGUAGGUUCUCAAUAAAUGUUAGCUAUUUGCAUUACUCUUACAUUGUCAUUCUAUGUCACCCUCUGCUUUAAAGAGAUUUACAUGUAUUAUUUACACAGUUUAAUCCUUAUGACAAGGCGGGCUAGCCCCAUUUUACAUGCGUGGGAAGUGCAGAUUGCAAAACAGGAAGACCGGUAAGGAGCUCUUCAGUGAUGCCUGCCCCAGUGGUCCUUCGUGGCACUACCCCUGUCUACCCAGCUCUGGGUUAACUCCACAGAGAAGCCACCACCUACAGGUGAGGCCUGCAGACCCGCCCCUUCACUUUGUGGGUACAGAAAUCUCUCCUUCCCCUGCUCACAGUCUCUUUCAAGUUGCUGCGGAUCUACCUACUGGGGGCCAUGGGGACAUCUCACUUCCUCCAGAUUCAUAAGCACUUCUCUUGGAGUCCAAGUGAAGGCCAAACAGUGGGCACAAUAGCGGAGAGGGAACCAAGCUGGUCGGACUGGCAUUGUUGGUCACUAAAACAAACACUUCCUGUUGUCCCAGAGUGUUUGGGGAAGACCAGGGUUCCUGCGGGCUGGAAAAAAAUGAAAAAGGAGCAGCAAAGCAACCCAGCUGCAAAGCCAAUGCCUUGGUGCUGACUGCUUUCCAGGAGUUAAAUAUAGCCCCUGUGUGAGGGAGGGCAGGGGAGGUCACCUUGGAAGGCUUUUGUGUGUGUUCAUUACAGCUGGUGCAGGAAACUUCAUAUCCUUUAUGCUGAAGAGAAUAGUGCAGAUUCCUCCCUGUUUAGCUCACAAAGGAAAUGGUUCCAGGAGGAAGUGGAAAACUGUGACCCACACAUGCUCGCCCCCUCGCACAAGAUGGCAGCUGCUUCCGUCCGCGGCAGCCUGCACCCUCUCCGUCCUCGGCUGCGUGGGGGGCAGACGUGGUCCUGGGAGUGGCCUGCGGUACCCGGUGAUAAAAGCAAGAUGGUGCCCACUCCUAUGAGGGUUGGUUCAGAUGCGACUUCCUCCAGGAGGGCAGUCCUCCUUUCCUGGACAGGAGCCAGCGUAUUGGCCAUGACUUCUUGGGUGGCAAGUGACAGCAUCACAGCUCAAACCAGCUUAAGCCAAAGAAAGGAAUCCAUUCACUCAGAAGCAUCUUCAGAUUCUUUACCCUCUGGCUCCUCGAAGACCAGUCUUUGUGAAGAAACUGAGGGAAUAUACAUCUCCUCCCGUCCUACUUCUGUCACAUAGAGCGAUGCUUCCCCAAGCAUGGAAUUCAGGUGAUUGGUGGGAAUGUGGCCUGGACUCGGUUGUGACAGAGACCACCACAUUUGAGGAGUUACGAAUUUAUUUGAAUUUGUAUUAAAAGCAUAUGACUGGUCCUUAGGAAUCCAUACUUCCACUGAUGUUGCUUAAAAUAGAAAUGUCAGGUAUGAGUCAGUUGAAAGAAAAAUAUCAGGUAGACAGCGUUAAGCAAGCAAAGAAUCUGUUGAACAUCAAGAACGUUGUGUUGGAGUGACUGAAAUUUGGGAAACACUUUUGGUCAUGGGUAUAGAUGUCAACUUACUUUUGACUUGAUUCAUCUGCACACUUGGCUCUAAUUUGCCCUGAGGACUUAACUGUGUGUGAGUGUGAGAGUGUGAGAGUGUGUGAGAGUAUGAGUGUGUGUAUGUAUGCGAGACUGUGAGAGAAUGAGUGUGUGUUUGUGAGUGUGUGUGUGUGACUGCAGGCCCGUGAUUUCUCUUACCUGUGCUCCUGUGCCAAUCAUACUGGACCAGGCCAGGUGAAGAGGCGAGGGGGCUCCUGGGUGAUAAUGAGAGGCUGGCCCUCAUCUUCAUAGCCUCUGGAUUUUAUUUAUUGAAGAUGUUACUCCAGGGUUUUUGAAUGGUUUGAGUGUGAGAGUGUCCCUGCAUGGCUGUGUCUGUAAGUAGGUGUUUAUCAUUGUGUAGGCAAGAUUUUCAGCAACUUGAAGUCUGAUGUGAAAUGAAGCAUUUAAAAAUUAAUUCCAGGGGAUCCCUGGGUGGC